GUCUAUGGCCACACCGCCCUGAACAUGCCUAAUUUUGUCUACUCUUGGAAGCUAAGCAGGGUCAGGCCUGGUUAGUACUUAGAUGGGAGAAUAUGACCCAUAAUAAGGAGAUGGAGAAA
rnacentral:rRNA from 1 species